AACCAAGAUGUGUGGGUAAUUGAUUUAACGGGGGUAAUUUGCCAGGUAUAACAUGAUAUAAUAUUUUAUCAUGAUAGUGGUGCAUGGCCGUUUCCAAUGGAUGCUGUGAAGUAAUGAUUAAUUUCAACAAGAUGUGAGACCCUCAUAUAGACAGAUGUAGUGAUACAUAUGAAGGAGAGGAUUAAAACAGGUCCGUUAUGCCCUAAGAUAAUCUGGGUUGCACGCGCAAUACAAUAAUAUUUGAUAUUAUAAGGGAUAAUAUAAUGUAAGAUAUAUUUGAACAUGGAAUUGCUAGUUAAUUUUAUUUAAUAAGUAGAAUUGAAUGAGUCCCUGUUCUUUGUACACACCGCCCGUCGCUAUCUAAGAUGGUAUUAUCUAUGAACAAAUUUAUAAAGAGAAUAGAUAGUACUAGAUGGAUAUAAGUCGAACU
rnacentral:rRNA from 1 species